rnacentral:rRNA from 1 species
UACGUAUGGAGCAAGCGUUAUCCGGAUUUACUGGGCGUAAAGGGAGCGUAGGCGGCCUGCCAAGUCUGAUGUGAAAUCCCGCGGCUCAACCGCGGAACUGCAUUUGAAACUGUUUUUCUUGAGUAUCGGAGAGGUAACCGGAAUUCCUAGUGUAGCGGUGAAAUGCGUAGAUAUUAGGAAGAACACCAGUGGCGAAGGCGGGUUACUGGACGACAACUGACGGUGAGGCGCGAAAGCGUGGGGAGCAAACAGG